AGAGAGAAGAGGCAGUUUUACUGGGACAGUAAUAGAGAGACAGGCUGAAGACAAAGAACUCAGGUGAAGACCAAAUGAGCCAGAGAAUGAGAAAGAGACAAAAGAUUAGAGAGGAUUGCUGGAGCUAGUUUGAGGCCAAGGAGAGCAAUUGAGGAGCCGAGAGAGAAGCCAGAUUAAGUCAACUGGGAGAGAAGUUUGAGCCAGAACAGCUGAAUUGAACCAGCCAGGCCAGAGCUCAGAAAGAACAAGAAAGGGUGAGCUUAUUCAGCAGUAAGUCUCAGAGGCUGAAAACAUUCAAGGCCUAGAUUGUAUGGAGGCUAGAAGCUUCCAGGGUUAGGCCUAGAUUAGCAGACAGAGGAAGUAAUACCUUGUGACAACAAUUCCCCCAGGAGAAUAAAAGCUACAUUUACACACACAAUAAAUAAAUUGUGUAUCACUGGUACUGGAAGUGACCCAGCUCACAGUGCUUGAUGAAGACAGUGGAUUCUUACCUCAGUGGCUCAGAGUGACCUUUUCCAUCCCAGUGUGCAGGUACUUGAAGAUGCCAGAAGAGGGAGUUGGAGCUGGAGAGUUGUGAGUUGUCUGGCAUGGGCACUGGAAACUGAACUCAGGUCCUCUGGAAGAACAGCAAACACUUGUGAACACUGAGCUCUUUCCAUCCCAGCCACUUGUUAAGUGCCUGUCUUCUUGAAUGGGCUCACACUUUACUGCUGAGGUAGUAGAUUCCUCACACACAAGGUGUUUCAGAUGUCAGAUAGACACGCGUGUGGAGGUCAGAAGACAACUGGUCUCUGAAGUAAUUGAGCAGCACCUCUCAUGUGCUAAGAAGACUCACACAGGCCCUCAGAAGCGGUGUGAAGCUGCUGCUUUGUCUACUACAAUGAGUAUGGAGAAGGAUUCCAAGUUAUCAGUCUCUCCUGGAAAUAAGGCAAAUGCUUGAGAGACUCUUUGGGACCUAGAUGACUGAAAUGGUUUUCAAUUUUGAGCAGAUUCUUUUUGUAGAGGAUAUGUUCUUUAAAGGCUUAAAAAUUA